GUUUUAUUGCUUCAGAGAUAUGGCAACCAUGUAAUAUACAAAUGUGAAGUGUUUGUCACAGUUCACAAAGCAGAUUAAGGACUGUUAGAUUUACAACAAUAACAAUAAAAAAGAUCACCAGAAUCUGAAAGCUGCUGAAGCAUCCAAUCUCCGACAUAUGCAACAGGCCAAUGUUGGUGCGGGGAACGACCUCUUCAAAUCGUCGAUGCUAUCUCCAAUCGUGUUGUGAACUCUACAGACGAUGAAAAACCCAGAACACAAGUGGUGGUUCUGUUUCUGUUUGAAGUGUGAAACUUUGUUGCUGAACAUAAUCUAUGUCGGUAGUUGUAUUAAUUUUAAUAAAAGUUCUGGUGUUCAAUAUAUGUAUGUAGUAUUUGUUUAAGAUGGUUUGUUUGUUACACUGUGUGAAAUAUAUUGU